AUUUGUAGAGUUCUGCAAGGAAAACACUUCCCACAAACUGGCUGUCUGUGCUAAUUAAGAAGCAAGUCUUCAUAAUUAUAGUUCACAUUUUUAAAAACUACCAUCUGGCCAUAAAGAUUUCAUCUGACCAUAAAGAUUUUUGCAUUUGUCUUUUGUUACACUGACACUCAAGAGUGAUAUUAAAAAUUGUCCCUUACAUGUUUAAAGCCAAUCAAGUCUCAAAACAAGUUUCUGAGGUCAAAGGCUCUGCAAUCCCCACCCUUACUUCCAUUGUGCUAUAUCUAUCUCUAUCAAGAUUAAGGAUUUAACCAUUAUCCACUAUAUGAAGCCCUGCUACCUUUAAAGCACCCGGCUGAGAAGCACGGCCAAGAAAAGCACUGAUGACGCAAUAGGCAGCUUAAUGUGUAUUGAAUGAAUGAAUGAUUCUGUAGGUGCAUCCCAAUUCAUAUGCUUAUGCACUAUGCCAUUUUGUAAUAUAAAUAUUGUGUUCACACUUAAAAAUUCCAACACAGAAUUUUGGACACUUCAUGUACUCAGUCAUUGCACCUUUAAUUAUGUAAUUGAUGACAAGCAAGUUGUCUAAAUGCCAUACACUAGACACACAGUACAUAAUUUAAGAGCGUACAAUGUAAUUUGGGACAGCUACUGACAUGUCAUAUUUCUACAUUAAAAUUUCUAUAAUUAAAACUUUAACCUCAUAACAUUAUUGAUGCAAUUGCAAUUGUAAUUUUACUGUAUUGUAAAUGCAAUUAUGCUACCAAUGAGCUGCAUUUAAAGGAGUAGUUCACUUUC